AAGACUGUAACCGGCGCUCGCGAAGCACCCACGUAUUAGGCGUCUGUUUUACUGUUUUCAAAUGUUCGCGCGUUGACCGCCGACCGGCGGCCGUAACGCCGACGUGCAGCGAUAUCCGAUUCGUUUUGUUCGUCCACACGGAACACUAGGGGAGACGGUUCAUCGGUCCGCCCGCGAAAUUGAGUCGACCACUCCGCCGAUCGGCUUCAGUCUCGCCCGACUCGACUUUUCAUUAGACAACAAACAGGCGUUGUGUACCGUUCCGGUUUCGUUUGCGAUUCGUUCGCGACGGUUUUCGCGUCAUAUUCGGGUCGUCGACGCGCGCGUAGCGCACAUCAUCGCGGCACGUUCGGUGUUCCCGUUGAAAAGCCGAUACGUACGUGUUACGCGUGGGUUUCGCACGAUAUGUUGCGUAUGAUAACGUACUGGUAGUACGUUGUCGUGGACGGGAUACCGCAACAUCAUAACGUGAUAAAUCACUGUACGUGUACGUACCAUAUGAGUAGGCGGUGCUCGUCCGAACGAUCGAAACCACGCGAUCCGUGUGGAUGCAUCAGUAAGAAAUAAAACGUUUUGAAAUGCGGGCGAUGCGUGUUAUAACGUUGUGCGUUUACGCGGGCGCGUCGCGGAUGGACUUCGUUUCCCUGCAUCCCCUCGUGCUAUAGGACGGUAUGAAAAAUUAAGGAUUUCAAUUCCGACCGACGGUCCGCGGAGUGCGGGCAAAUGUAAUUCGAUUUUCGCGGGGGAGACGCUGUACGGGACUCUUUGCAGCGAGUACAAAAACGAGAAUUUCGACUCGAAUUGCAUUGCUAGUGUUCGUACACUUACAGGUUGCAGCUAAUGUCGUCUCCGGUCGAAAAGGAAAACAAUGGGCACUCACACACGUACACGCACCACGCGCGCUCACGUACACAGACGCGGACGACGAGGGACUUGUGUUUAGAAUGCACCGCAACGCCGCGACGGUCGUUCCGCCCACGAGCGCCUCCAAAACGGACGUGGUGUGUGUGUAAGCUCGCGAACACAAUCGAAUCUCUCCAUUCUCGUAUUUAACGGCGUCGUUACGAGACGCACAACACCACAUCAAAUUAGUCCUGCAGCAGCCCGGGACGCCAUCGCCGCUCUCUCCGUGCCGGUUUCGGAUCCGUGAUUUCGUUCAAAUGUCGACGUUCCAGUGGAAUAUACAACUACUGCAUUUUUAGCGCGGAGAAGAACAUCGACACGAACAAACCAAACCCGGAACACUCUUCCGGCGAUGACAGCAGUGUCUAAACUUUUCACUAUUUUUACGGUCUUUUUUUUUUUUUUUGUUUUCUACUGUGCACGAAUCAAUUUGAAAUGCAUAAAUCAUGUUAAUAGUUAUUUGAGUUGUUGCAGUUUUGUACAGUUGCGUUGAUAUCAAAUAUAAAAUAUGUGUAUAUUAUUAUUAGUUGUUUACAUUUAUCUAUCGGCAGU